UUUGCUUGGUAGACAAGGAGAGCAGGGCAUUCCAAGUGGAGAGAACAUCAUAGGAGAAACUACUGAGGCAUGAGGGAGUAUGGCCCAUUGGAGAUCUGUGCCAAGAAGUGCUAAUCGAGUGAUAAAAAGGGAGCUCUGAGAAUUGCCACUGGGAAGGUAUUUCUGGCAUAGGUAUAGGCUGACGAUUCUGCAACCUGAAUCAGAGAUCGUCCUGUAUCUCCCAUGACCCGUGCCUCUUUUCCUCCGGCCUCUUCCUUCCUUCCUCAUAAAGGAACUCCGUGGCGGUGUUUAGGAGUCAUAUUGGUGUCUGUGUCACUUGAGUCGUCAUUUAAUAACUCUGUUUCUUCACUAAAAUGGGAAUAUUAACACCUGCCUUGCCUCCCUCAGAGUCCAGGGAAAAAGGAAAAAUGAGACUCUUAAAAGGUCCAGUAAAUUUUUUUUUUAUUGGGAAUCCUGCCAGCUAAGGCUACCACCCGACAUUUAAGACAAGUAAAAUACUUGACGGGGUAUCUGGAUGGGAAGGCUGGGUCGAAAAGCACAGGAAUAUGCUUACUUCCUCAUUAACUCCCUGUGUCGGCCCUGCUGCCUAUGGGGCGUCAGUCAGCUUAGUUCCCUGUUUCUGCACCAACGUGAUCACAUUUCCUUCUUCCCAGUGGUCUUGUCACGUAUAUCUUCGCCCACGUUAGAUUCUCACAGUAAGUCCGCGAUGGUAAGGGAUUUAAGACUUGGGCCAGUAAAAUACGAGUCGGUAUAUUUCACAGUCAACCUUGAAUGAUUUACGAUCUGUUAGGCAAUUUGAAUUACUCCUGAACUACCCUCCGUCGUUUGUGGCACAGCACUUCCUUACAUUUUAAGGCUGUAUAAAAAGGUUAUGAUUCAUUCAAGUGGGAAUGGGAAGUUACGAAACGGGCCUUCUACUCUUCUUUUCUUCCUAAUCCUGUGACAGUACAGGUAGAGUUAUUAGUACCAGGAAAAGGCUUUUCUUCCCUUUUGACCCCACCUGUGCCACUGGUCAUUCACCCGAAAUGUGACCUUCCGGGCUGGAGGAGUAUGAGUAGUUACUCCCAACAUGAGUACCCCUGACCGACCCUUCUUUAGAUCACUGGUUUUCCAAGUCUGUCGCCCGAGGACCUUUCUGCACGACAGAAAACUCGGUAAGCCACUCAGGCCUCCUGCUCUGAGCCAUCUUAACAGCUAUGGAUGCGAUCACACGACGAUGCUAUUUUAAAUGGAACGUAAGUGAAUUGUUUAUACUAGGUGAAUACAGACCCUGUCAUCAAAAUCGCUAAUAACAUAAGAGACUUACUGUGUCCUAGCAGGACGUGGUGAUUCCUCUCCGUUCCCCUCUUCUACGUGAACUAGCACACGUGAACGUGCCUGUGAAGUUGGAAAAAAAAAAUACCUAUUCCAGUUUAAACUAUAAUAGAAAAACGAUUAUUGCCUUUUUUCCGCCAGGCUUGAGGGACACACUCUGGCAAUUGUUCUGUUUUCCACAAAAUUAAAUGAGGAAACGGUCUGGUUUGUUUUCUCUUUGUUUUCAAGUCUGCGGUACCAUUGAUACAUGGUUUAAAAGCAUUCUUCCGAGGACCUAGUGGAUUAAAUCAUUUUUAUGUCCCCUAAGUACUGCCCCGUUGUGGAGAAUUCUUGAGAAAAGUGUGGCACCUAUCCAAAAUCACAUUCUCUGGUUUUUUUCCCCCCGUAUUUGAAUUUUUUCCUUAUAAGUUAAUGGAAAGGAAAGUGGUCAGUUUUUGCACUCAAGAAACAAGAAAGAAGGUGCAGACAGCUUUUAUCUGGGACAUUUUUAACUGAUCGAAAGAAUAUUUUUAAGUAUUAACUGCUUUUUGAAAUUCUUGGCAGAGCCCUCUUAACCCUCUAACAUAGAAUGGUUGAAUAAGAUGAAAAGAUUUUUUUUAUUGUCUACAUAAAAGAAAGCACCAUGGUUUUUGCAUCAUUGCAUAAAUCUAAGAGAUUAUGCACACAUAAAGAGGAUGAGACCAAGCUGAAGGCUAAAUGCCAACAUCAACGAAAGCUUGUCUGAGUAUUUGACACUGUGCAUGAUGGGGUGUGGUUCCACAGGGAGAGGACACUAAAUAUUUACACCCCAGGACAUGUUUCUCUGGUAAAGCUUCUUGCCCUAGAUUAAUCUUCCAGCUCAUACUAUUACCCCCUUCUUUAACCAUACCCCCUUCUUACACUUGGAUUUUCUCCCAUAAAACUUCAUGAGAGGCUAAACCUUCUAGAUCCAAUCCCCUGCCCUCGCUUUUCCCAUCUCUCCCAUCUCUUUCUGUGGUCUUCGUGAAUUCUGUUUUAUUGUAUGGACCUUCAGGUGAAUUAUCUCGGUUUACCACAAGUAGUAAAACACAAGCAUGGCCCCCCCCAAGCCUCCCUCACAGCUCUUCCCCCCCC